ensembl:lncRNA
GAAGAUUGAACUUUUCAACUCCACUUCGGAGUGAUUUCUACACACUCUGCAUUGCUGGAACAACGGCCUGACUGACUCCGGGCUACAUUUCUUCUUGAGUGGCGUACCUGUUUGACGAGCCGGUGGAUGUACAUCACCAGCAACAACUGCACACCUUCGCUGUCAUCUGAAACAAAGAGAAUCUGCCAGAAGUCAUAUCCUACUUCUAACAAAUCAUUUGCCUUGGUGACUCACCCUGUCGCUCACCUCACACUCCCAUGGCCGCCUCAUCUUCAUCUGAACAUACGGCACUAUUCACCGCGCUGUCAAUUCAGCCUCUUUCAGGGAGCGCGCUGCACAUUCUGCAUACAAUGGCCACACUGCAAUAUCAGCGGUUACUCCUGGUGUGAUUGAUCAAGUCGCCUUGGACAGCCCCUGUAACAAGAGCUUGCUUGGUGCAGACUGGCUACGGGCACAUAACUCGCCACACAACCGUUUGAAAGAUGACAUUUUAUCAAGGCCAUCUUCAGUUGUGAGUACGGGUGAGUGCAGGCAGCGUUCAGGUCAAUUGUCCCCAGUGCCCAUAUGUGCUGCAAGGUGUCUGGACUGCCAUACAAAUUGCACUCUCUCUCUCCUUUUCACCCCACCACUUCCUCUCUCUCUCUCUCUCUCUCUCUCUCUCUCUUUCUGUCUCUGUCUCUGUCAUGCCUGCACAUGCUCACGAACACUGUUUACCGAGAGAGAGACAAAUACAUUGCAAACA